GUCAACCUUGGCCUCCCAAAGUGCUGGGAUUACAGGCGUAAGCCACUGCGCCCAGUCUACAGUUAAGUAACUUUUAAAAUUCAUUUGUACUGUAGUAACAUAUCUUUAUCCAAGCAUUUAAUUUGGAAAACCUAAGUGUAAGUAUUCUGAAAGUUUUAGAGUUUUUGUUUAACUUUUAUGUUUUUGACUAGAUUCAAGCAAAUAUUGAUUUUAUUUCUUAUAGUCUUGAAGCAAUACAUUUUGUGUAUAAGUUUUCUUUAAUGUGACUAUUAAGAUUAGAGUUCUGCCACUAUGUUUCAUGUUACAAAUUUAGCCUCAGUGACUGCCUGGGCCACGAGAAUCGGCAGUGACCUGAAUCAGGUAGGCAGUGUAUUGUUAGCUGGCUGCUUUGGUCAAGUCAGCAGCCACAACUACCCUGCCACUUGCUUCUGGAUAAAUUCUUCUUGUCAAUGAAGUGCUCUGUAUACCUGUGUGUGAUGAGCUGGCAGUGUAUUGUUAGCUGGUUGAAUAUGUGAAUGGCAUCGGCUAACGUGCAACUGCUGUCUUAUUGCAUAUACAAUGAACAUCAGAGUGUAACUGAAUCUGUAAUUAGUGUGUGUUUAUGUGUACUUUCUGCUAUGAAGCAAGCCACUAUUUACCAUAAUAUAUUAUUGCCAUUAACUUAUAAUACAGUAAUACUUAUAAUACAAUGGACAGCUUUAUAAUGGUAAGGAAAGUACUACAAUUACUUAAAUUUUUUUCCUUUUAAGAAAAAUUUACUUAUGCCUGCUUUUCCGUAACUAAAAAUUUUUAAGAAAUAUUUUUGGAGUCUUUGGAGUCUUUCGGAGUAGACAGUGUUUAAGUAUUUGUGAAAUUAUAUGUUUUUAACUAUAAGGUUUAGAAUGUAAUAACAAUGUGGAAUGGACCUACAAUGUGUCCCCAAAUUUUCAGUGAAGUCUUUAUGAUUCUUUCUGCAUCAUUAGUUUCUUUCUUUCUUUUUUUUUUGAGACGGAGUCUCGCUCUGUCGCCCAGGCUGAACUACAGUGGCGCGAUCUCCGCUCACUGCAAGCUCCGCCUCCCGGGUUCACGCCGUUCUCCUGCCUCAGCCUCCCGAGUAGCUGGGACUACAGGCGCCUGCUACCAUGCCCGGCUAAUUUUUUUGUAUUUUUAGUAGAGACGGGGUUUCACCGUGUUAGCUGGGAUGGUCUCGAUCUCCUGACCUCGUGAUCCACACGCCUCGGCCUCCCAAACUGCUGGGAUUACAGGCGUGAGCCACCGCGCCCGGCCUCUGCAUCAUUAGUCUCUGAAUACAGCAUUAGAAUUGGUUUCUAUAGCCAUGACUGUGUGUGUACCAGCUGAAGGGAAAGUUGAGGUUCAUGAAAUAUUUGGAAGACAGCAUGAGAUCUAACAACUUGUGAAGUGGGAAGAACUGACCAUAAAAUAUGACCUCAAAUAUAUUCUCAUUCCCUUGGAGGCAUUUUGACCCAUGAAGCAGCAUAGAUAUGUGCUGGCUUCCAGACAUGUUGUAUUCUUGUGUGGACAUUUGCAGCCAGUUAGUGGAACUGACUUUGGUGGUGCCAUCAGUUAGUUAAGCCAUAGAUGAGCUAUAAGAAAUAUUUAGCAUUCUCUACUGUACUGGAUUAUAAGUUAUUGGUAAAAUAAUUUUUAUGCUUUCCUUAUUUAAACAUAUUUCUAGAACAUGGGUUAAAUAGAUAUCUAUAAUUUGAUUCUUAUGCAUUUUACUACUUUCAAAUCACAUCUUCUUUUUGAUGUUGCCCAGUGUUAUUCACUUUCAGGAGAUUUAUGUUUAAGUAUAUCUUCCAUGUAAAUACUGUUUUCAUCUUGUCUUUUUUAAAGGUUAAAUUUCAACAUGUUAUUUUCUAUAGAGAAUCACUGACCUGGUGAUAAAAAUAAAACCUACUAAAUUUAGAAAGCUUGGCUUUUGUGUUUUAGUUUUUUUAAAUUAAAGAGCAAGACAUAAAAUGCCAACUUUAUUUUAUUUUAGAUCCGGGGGUACAUGUGCAGGUUUGUUACAUGAAUAUAACAGGUGAUGCUGGGGUUUGGGCUUCUAGUGAACCUAUCACCCAAAUAGUGAACAUUGUACCCAAUAGGUAGUUUUUCGGUCCUUGUGUUCCUUCCUUCUACCCCUUCUGGAGUCCCCAGUGUCUACUGUUUCCAUCUUCAUGUCCAUGUGUACCCAUUGUUUAGCUCCCACUUAGAAGUGAGAACAUGCCGUAAUUGAUUUUCUGUUUCUGAAAAUGCCAACUUAAAUUUUUUUAAAGUUUUCUUUUUUAGAACUGUUGAUUCUGUAGGGAAACCAACUUUAUAUUCAAUAAACAGAAGACAUUUAAAGUUGUGGUUUAGUCUCAUAUUAUUGAGAUGAUGAGAAAAGAGGGAAGGAAUGGAAUGAAAUAAUAAUAUGUUAAAGAAAUAAAAAAUAUGUUAAAGAGAUGAAUGGGUUAGGAGGAAAGUGAAGAUAUAAAUUAAAAGAGAAAAUGUUUCCAUAGGUGGGAGAGGGAAAGAAAGGGAUAUACACUGGGAUGUCAAGGGUCAAGCAGAGGGAAAAGGGAUCGUAAAAAGACGGGGGAGGCUCUGCUGAUGGCAAAGUAUUUUCUCCCAGGUGUUUUCUCUUGGGGCAGUCUCUUGGCUGUUCGCUGGUGCUGGGAAUGUCACUACUUCCCAUCGCUGCCCUCUGAACCUGUCACUAUUAUAGUGAUAGCUUCCUAAUUUCUCUCUCUGCUGCUUUUUAUUCCCCUGCACUGCUCUGCAAGAGACAGCCUUAACAGUUCAGCUGGAUGAGGGGAGGGGAAGAGUGGAAAGGAGUGUGAUGGAUUAGUUUCUAGGCAUAACAAUUAUUAGAAUUUUAUUUGAUGGGAAAGAUAAAAUCAAGCAGAGGACUAAAUAUGGAUAGUGUCCUCAUAUCAGCUCCACCCAAACAUGUCAUUUUUCUUUCAAAGGAACACCACAAAUCAAUGUGGUGCAAUCAUGGCUCACUGCAGCCUCUACCUCCUGGGCUUAAGCAAUCCUCUCACCUCAGCCUCCUGAGUAGCUGGAACCACAGGUGUGUGCUACCGCACCUGGCUAAUUUAAAAAUUUUUUUUUGUAGAGACAGGGUCUUGCUCUGUUGCCCAGCCUGGAGUUUAGUGGAGCCACGUCGGCUCACUGCAGCCUUGACCUCUUUGGGCUCAAGCAAUCCUUCCACCUCAGCCUCCUAUGUAGCUGGGACCUGAGGCAUAUGCCACUACACUCAGCUAAUUUUUUGAUUUUUUUGUGGAGACAGGGUUUUGCCAUGUUGCCCCAGGCUGGUAUCUAACUCCUGGGCUCAAGUGAUCCUCCCACCUCAGCUGCUUAAAGUGCUGAUAUUACAGGCCUGAGCCAUCAUGCCCAUCGCCAAUUGUCACGUUUUUAGAAAUUUUGCAUCCUAGUUACUAAACCAUUGGUAGAUUGAAAUUGACCAUGAGGGAGCAUGAGCAUUUACAUUGAGCUGGCAAAUGCUGUAUGUCAGGAUUCCUCCUCCAGAGUCUGCUAUUAAACAUGUACCAGCCACCAUUAUAUAUAUGCUAGAUACACUGCAGUUAUUAAGAAUUAUAUAUAUGUACAUGUAUACAUACUAUUGAUACAGUGUAAUUGUUAAACAUUUAAAAAAAUGAAAUACAACUUUCAGGGCACAUUUCAGCCAAAUUCAUAUUUAUUCCAAUCUCUAACGCUCUGUUGUUAUGUCUGCUGUAAGAUGAUCAGGAGUUAGUAUGAAGUAUUCUUCUCUAUGCACCAAAGAAAACAAACAAAGCAAACUUCAAGUCAGUGAAUUAGUUACCACAGUUAAAAUGCAUUUGAUUUUGUCCUUUUCCUUUUUCACAAGAACAACAGCUGAAUACUCUUUCAUAUGAUGCCUGAUAUUUUUCUUUUUCUUUUUCUCUUUUUUUUGAGACAGGGUCUUUGAGAUGGGGUCUCGCUCUGUUGCCCAGGUUGGAGUGCAGUGGUGCGAUCUUGGCUCAUUGCAACCUCAGCCUCCUGUUUUCAAGUGAUUUUUCUGCCUCAGCCUCCCAAGUAGCUGGGAUUACAGGCACAUGCCACCAUGCCUGGCUAAUUUUUGUAUUUUUAGUAGAGAUGGGGGUUUCACCAUGUUGGCCAGGAUGGUCUCGAACUCCUGACCUCAAGUGAUCUACCCACGUCGGCCUCCCAAAGUGCUGGGAUUACAGGUGUGAGCCACUGCGCCAGGCUCUGAUGUUGAUAUUUUUCUGUUACAGUCCUUAGCCCAGGCAUCCUGUAGCACUCUGUGUCCCAGACUUUUUGAUGCAGAAACAAGACUGAAGGAAGAUUGUCCAAUAUAGGAAAGAUUCAACUUUUCCUCUGUGUGUUUGUCCGCUGGUAUUCCUAUGAGGCAUUUGAGUUACAGGUAGCAGCACAUCGGCAAAUGACUCCACUCCCUCUCUCAGCACACAUAGCCUAAUUGUUACAGAACCCCAAAGGGACACCUGAAUGUCCUUUCUUUCAAGGCAAUAUGUAUGACACGCUUUCAAAUCCCCUCCUGCCUACUCUGCUUACCUAAAGGGCAAAGGGAGAAAAUCCAGCACUGACACAGAGUCUGUAGGUUGAAUAAGGCAACCAAGAUUAGAGAGAUGUAAGUGAAGAAACCCACUUUAUCUGGCUUUGGAGAGAACUAGUGACUUAAGGCAGGAUGUUCAUCUGUAUCAUGUUGACUGGGACAGUCCUGGUUGUUCCCAGUGCAGCUCCAUUAUCAUCCAUCUGGCAGUGGGGAGUCUCUGUUGCCCAUGUGGUGCUGGCAUAUGCAGUUCUGCUCAUGCCCCUAACGUGAACGCAUAAAACACCCCUGCAGUGCCACAGCACUGCUAUGAGCUCAUGGAAGGCGUAGGUGGGGAUACAAGGCAAGAGUGCUCUGGCAGCAACACUUGGAGGGGCCGCCUGAACAAAAGUUUUCUUAGAGGCUCAGAAUUUAAAUUGCUAAUAGGCUCUUGGGGCAAAAUUGCAAAGGACAGAUAGACUUGUUUGUGGCUUCUGUUUUCUUCGCUAACAAUCCAGGUUAGUUCUGAUUUCCUUCCUGGUCACUUAAAACACCUAAGUAAGUGUGUUAAUUGACUUUUAGAGUUGCAAAGGGCUUUUUAUUACAUUCAACGCCUGUUCAAUUUACAGGUGAGGAAACUGAAAUAAGGUACUUAAGUGACUUGCCUAAAGUCACGCAGCUGGUGAGAGGUAGGAGCAGGCUUGCUGACACACUUAUCUGGCAUUCUUGAGGCUAUCCUUACAAAUCCUCUUGACCUCUGGUAGAAAUUCCACCUCCACCAAAUAUCUUUCUAAAUACAUUCAUAGCUGGGUGGCUGGAUAUGUCCUCUGAAGCAGAAGAUGCUUCAUGAAAUAUUUUUGGUUUAUCUAAGAACUUUGGUCCAAAUACGUAUACAGAACUAUAUACUGAGGUAGCAUUACUGAAUUCGCCAUAAGAAACAUCUUCACUUUCAUCCAUCAGGUCAGAAUUUGGGAGUCAAGUCACAGACUACUUAAAUUGGGUCUUUUUCUUCUUAGACAAAUUUAUAUGACUUUUUUACAUUUUUGGCCAUCUUCCUAUUUAAU